ACUUAAAUUGAAGAGUUUGAUCAUGGCUCAGAUUGAACGCUGGCGGCAGGCCUAACACAUGCAAGUCGAGCGGUAGCACAGAGAGCUUGCUCUCGGGUGACGAGCGGCGGACGGGUGAGUAAUGUCUGGGAAACUGCCUGAUGGAGGGGGAUAACUACUGGAAACGGUAGCUAAUACCGCAUAACGUCGCAAGACCAAAGUGGGGGACCUUCGGGCCUCAUGCCAUCAGAUGUGCCCAGAUGGGAUUAGCUAGUAGGUGGGGUAAUGGCUCACCUAGGCGACGAUCCCUAGCUGGUCUGAGAGGAUGACCAGCCACACUGGAACUGAGACACGGUCCAGACUCCUACGGGAGGCAGCAGUGGGGAAUAUUGCACAAUGGGCGCAAGCCUGAUGCAGCCAUGCCGCGUGUGUGAAGAAGGCCUUCGGGUUGUAAAGCACUUUCAGCGGGGAGGAAGGCGUUAAGGUUAAUAACCUUGGCGAUUGACGUUACCCGCAGAAGAAGCACCGGCUAACUCCGUGCCAGCAGCCGCGGUAAUACGGAGGGUGCAAGCGUUAAUCGGAAUUACUGGGCGUAAAGCGCACGCAGGCGGUCUGUCAAGUCGGAUGUGAAAUCCCCGGGCUCAACCUGGGAACUGCAUUCGAAACUGGCAGGCUAGAGUCUUGUAGAGGGGGGUAGAAUUCCAGGUGUAGCGGUGAAAUGCGUAGAGAUCUGGAGGAAUACCGGUGGCGAAGGCGGCCCCCUGGACAAAGACUGACGCUCAGGUGCGAAAGCGUGGGGAGCAAACAGGAUUAGAUACCCUGGUAGUCCACGCCGUAAACGAUGUCGAUUUGGAGGUUGUGCCCUUGAGGCGUGGCUUCCGGAGCUAACGCGUUAAAUCGACCGCCUGGGGAGUACGGCCGCAAGGUUAAAACUCAAAUGAAUUGACGGGGGCCCGCACAAGCGGUGGAGCAUGUGGUUUAAUUCGAUGCAACGCGAAGAACCUUACCUGGUCUUGACAUCCACAGAACUUAGCAGAGAUGCUUUGGUGCCUUCGGGAACUGUGAGACAGGUGCUGCAUGGCUGUCGUCAGCUCGUGUUGUGAAAUGUUGGGUUAAGUCCCGCAACGAGCGCAACCCUUAUCCUUUGUUGCCAGCGGUCCGGCCGGGAACUCAAAGGAGACUGCCAGUGAUAAACUGGAGGAAGGUGGGGAUGACGUCAAGUCAUCAUGGCCCUUACGACCAGGGCUACACACGUGCUACAAUGGCAUAUACAAAGAGAAGCGACCUCGCGAGAGCAAGCGGACCUCAUAAAGUAUGUCGUAGUCCGGAUUGGAGUCUGCAACUCGACUCCAUGAAGUCGGAAUCGCUAGUAAUCGUAGAUCAGAAUGCUACGGUGAAUACGUUCCCGGGCCUUGUACACACCGCCCGUCACACCAUGGGAGUGGGUUGCAAAAGAAGUAGGUAGCUUAACCUUCGGGAGGGCGCUUACCACUUUGUGAUUCAUGACUGGGGUGAAGUCGUAACAAGGUAACCGUAGGGGAACCUGCGGUUGGAUCACCUCCUUACCUUAAAGAA
rnacentral:rRNA from 1 species